UGCGCAGGCGGCUUAUUAAGUCAGUGGUGAAAUCUCUCGGCUCAACCGAGAAACUGCCAUUGAAACUGAUAAGCUUGAGUGUAGUUGUAGUAGGCGGAAUAUAGCAUGUAGCGGUGAAAUGCUUAGAUAUGCUAUAGAACACCGAUCGCGAAGGCAGCUUACUAAACUAUUACUGACGCUCAUGCACGAAAGCGUGGGGAGCAAACAGGAUUAGAUACCUGGUAGUCC
rnacentral:rRNA from 1 species